UACGUAGGGUGCAAGCGUUGUCCGGAUUUAUUGGGCGUAAAGAGCUCGUAGGCGGCUCGGUAAGUCGGGUGUGAAACCUCCAGGCUCAACCUGGAGACGCCACCUGAUACUGCUGUGGCUAGAGUCCGGUAGGGGAGCGUGGAAUUCCUGGUGUAGCGGUGAAAUGCGCAGAUAUCAGGAGGAACACCAGCGGCGAAGGCGGCGCUCUGGGCCGGAACUGACGCUGAGGAGCGAAAGCGUGGGUAGCAAACAGG
rnacentral:rRNA from 1 species